CAGAACUAAGGUGGGCAGGAGGAGAAAGAGGGCAGCCGAGCAGUUGUGGUUGUUUGGCAAGGCUAGCCAUGAGGAAUGGGCAAAUUGGAAGUGAGCCCUGCAGCAGCUGAUCUUGGAGCUAAACCAGGAGCAGUCGGAGUCAGGCCCAGCUCUCAAGAAGAAGGCUGGCACCCGUGGCUCCUUGAGUCCUCUCGGAGCAGCCAAGGAGGUGGUAAGAACCCCCGAGCUUGUCGAGGGAAAAUGCAGAGAAAACAAACCUGGCCAAGACCCUUAGAGUGAAUCAACAUUGAACUUGGCUGCAAAGAGCACAGGUAGCAGAUCUGACCUUCAAAGGCUGUCCCCUAGCGAGCCCUUCCUCUAGCCAAGCUCCAAGGCCUUCAGCACAGUGCCGGAAGCUUCGGAUGAGUGUCUGCACCAUGAGCCUAUGGAAGAAAUUUCAGACUCAGUACAUCGGUGGCUGUCAACCUGAAACAAUCCUUAGGCACAUGAGAUGACCCAGCAAGUAAAACUGGCAUUCUAGAUUAGAUCCCUGGAGCUCAAAUGGAAGGACAGACUCCCACAGGCUGUCCUCUGACCUCCACGCAUGCAUCUUCAUCCCCUUCCCCCCACACCCACUAACAAGUAAAAUUAAAUUUAAAAAUGAUCAGUCCAAAGUGGAAUGACUUGGGACAGCAUGCUCUGUUCCUUCUCAUUCAUACAUUCUACCUCCUUGUUUCUCUUUCUGUCUGAGUUAAAUGGUAAGAGAGUUGUGGCCAGGUAGUAUUUUAUCCAGCUGGGCAGUGGCAGUGCAUGCCUUUAAGCCCAGCAUUCAGGAGGCAGAGGCAGGUGGAUCUCUGUGAGUUUUGAGGCCAAUCUGACCUACAGAUCAAGUUUCAGAACAGCUAAAGCUACACAGAGAAACUUUGUCUCAAAAAAAAAAGAGGAGUCGUAAAUUCUCAACUCUAAUAUUUCUAUUAGGUUAAGAGUAGAGAAUAAUGUCUUUAUUCCUUUUGUAGGUUUUUUUUUGUGACCUAAUUACUAAAAAGCCAAUUAGCUUUUAAAAUACCCUAUAAAUACAUGAAAGUUAUUAAGGUAAUUUCCUGGUUUUCAGCAUAUAAAUCAGAAUAUAUAUUAAGCAACUCUUUAAAAUUAUUUUAUGUGAAUUAACCUAUGUAUUUAGCUUAAAGGAAAUAUAAGAUAAUCCUAUUUAUUGAUGUGCUUUUAAUUCUAGCUUUUGUUUCUAACUUGUUAUAUAGUUACAAAUAAAAUUGAAUAAGAUUA
rnacentral:lncRNA from 1 species